AAUGGUAGAGCGCUCGCUUAGCA
rnacentral:piRNA from 1 species